AUUGAACGCUGGCGGCGUGCCUAACACAUGCAAGUCGAGCGGUAACAGGUGUAGCAAUACAUGCUGACGAGCGGCGAACGGGUGAGUAAUGCUUCGGAAUCUACCCAAUGGUGGGGAAUAACCAGCCGAAAGGUUGGCUAAUACCGCAUACGUCCCACGGGAGAAAGCAGGGAUCGCAAGACCUUGCGCCAAUGGAUGAGCCGAAGUCGGAUUAGCUAGUUGGAGGGUAACGGCCUACCAAGGCGACGAUCCGUAGCUGGUCUGAGAGGACGACCAGCCACACUGGGACUGAGACACGGCCCAGACUCCUACGGGAGGCAGCAGUGGGGAAUAUUGGACAAUGGGGGAAACCCGUGAUCCAGCGACGCCGCGUGUGUGAAGAAGG
rnacentral:rRNA from 1 species